UACGGAGGAUGCAAGCGUUAUCCGGAAUGAUUGGGCGUAAAGCGUCCGCAGGUGGCUGUGUAAGUCUGCUGUUAAAGAGUGAGGCUCAACCUCAUAAAAGCAGUGGAAACUACACGGCUAGAGUGCGUUCGGGGCAGAGGGAAUUCCUGGUGUAGCGGUGAAAUGCGUAGAGAUCAGGAAGAACACCGGUGGCGAAAGCGCUCUGCUGGACCUUAACUGACACUGAGGGACGAAAGCUAGGGGAGCGAAUGGG
rnacentral:rRNA from 1 species